AAGUCGUAACAAGGUUUCCGUAGGUGAACCUGCGGAAGGAUCAUUAACACGAAUUAAUAUAUCCAUAUAUUCAAACCCACCGUGAACUUUUUUUCUCCCUAUUCCCCAUAUUGGAGUUUAGGCUACCGUUUCCAUUUAUAAUUUUUACCACAUUUACAAAUUUUGUUUUGCUUUGUCUAGUCGUUCUGUAAUGAAAUGCUAUGAAGAGUAAAUCAAGCACACACUAAAAAACCAUAUUAUCUUUGAAAAAAGAUUAUGUUUUUUUCUUAUUACGAAAUAAUAGUAAGUUUAUAAAACAACUCUUAGCAAUGGAUAUCUUGGUUCUC
rnacentral:misc_RNA from 1 species